GACGAACGCUGGCGGCGUGCUUAACACAUGCAAGUCGAGCGGUAAGGCCCUUUCGGGGUACACGAGCGGCGAACGGGUGAGUAACACGUGGGUGACCUGCCCUCAGCUCUGGGAUAAGCCUGGGAAACCGGGUCUAAUACCGGAUAUGACUCCAUGACGCAUGUUGUGGGGUGGAAAGCCUUGUGCGGCUGAGGAUGGGCCCGCGGCCUAUCAGCUUGUUGGUGGGGUGANGGCCUACCAAGGCGACGACGGGUAGCCGGCCUGAGAGGGCGACCGGCCACACUGGGACUGAGACACGGCCCAGACUCCUACGGGAGGCAGCAGUGGGGAAUCUUGCGCAAUGGGCGAAAGCCUGACGCAGCGACGCCGCGUGAGGGA
rnacentral:rRNA from 1 species